rnacentral:rRNA from 1 species
UACGUAGGGGGGCUAGCGUUGUCCGGAUUUAUUGGGCGUAAAGAGCGUGUAGGCGGCCAGGUAGGUCUGGUGUGAAAACUCGAGGCUUAACCUCGAGAUGUCAUCGGAAACCAUCUGGCUAGAGUCCGGAAGAGGAGAGUGGAAUUCCUGGUGUAGCGGUGAAAUGCGCAGAUAUCAGGAAGAACACCAAUGGCGAAGGCGGCUCGCUGGGCCAUUCCUGACGCUGAGACGCGAAAAGCUAGGGGGAGCGAACAGG